AACAUCAUCAUAAUUGGGAAGCAUUGUAGAUAGCCCAACCAACCGAAUAUGUUCCUUUGUGGUCUCAAUUUGUCUAACAGUUCUUGCCACAAUACUCUCGAGAACAGGUCUUCUGUUAUCUUGCAGAAGAUGAAUUUCAUCAAUAAUUAUACCUUUAUUUCUCAAAAAUAUAUAAUUUUAAAAAGUAUGUAUUUUGAAAAAGAAAGCUAUUUUGAGGGGAUUUAGGGUUUGGAUUUUGUUGAUUUUUUCCGUUGAAUCAGAUAUGGAGAGAAUGCAGAAGAAACUGCAGCAUCAGCUGAUUGGAAAUGCCCCAAAUGUAGAGGAAUCUGUAAUUGCAGCUUUUGCAUGUAAGUGUUGUUGUCGAUCUGAUAUAUUGGUACAUAUCUCCGUUUUCAAGAUCUAAUUCCCCUAAAAAAAGUUUCAAAUUUGACUUUACCAGAUUUGGUACUUUUCAAAUUAUAAAUUGAAUAACCUAUGAACUUUUCAAUACCUUUUCCAAACAAACAAGUACCACAGAUAACAUAUUGUUUGUAUUAUUUUGGCAACAACAUUCAUUCCAAUUUUCCAAUCAACAAGUACCCUUUUAACCUUACACGUCAAAGGUAAACCUUUCAUCUUUUUAUUAAUUUUAGUUUGCCUAAAGUCCAAAUAACAAACAAGGGUAUUUUUGUAAUCUAACAGGAAAACGACACACCGGAUGUAGCGGUUACUAGACUAUUUGCAUCUGCAAAGAAAGAUACUUCUCAAUAUGGCGAUUAUGGAGCUUUCGCUAACUGCUUGCAACAGUUGCCACCUGAAGGACAAAUUCGGGCAACUACUGCUGAAGUCCAAACUCUGCUAGUUUAUAGGGGAUUGACUUAGUUCUUGCAGCACAACUUGGUGAUCAGUUUUUUUUCUCUCUCUCUCUCUCUCUCUCUCUCUCUCUCCCUCCCUCUCUCUCUCUCUCUCACACACACAUUCUGAAAAAUCUACUCGAUUAUAGAAUUUUUUCUAUUAUAUUUUGAUUCCUACCUUCUCUUUGAUUUCAAUAUUUUGGAUUUAGCAUCUUCUGUUGAGGUUAUUUUUACACUUUUUGCAUUCAAGUGUAUGUCUCCAUGAGGCAACACACGGGUUGGUGGAGUCUUUUUAAUUUGACAUGAAACCCAGAACCCAGAGUUACAUUUGGAACCUGCUAGCAGUAAAUCUCUUCCUGCAAAUCGUAACGGCUCAAUAACACAAAAAUUACGAGUUACCAACACUCAACAUGGCAAGUAAGCAAUCAUUAUGCGCAUCCAAAUAACUUACAAGUUGAACAACAAAGACAUGUUGGAAGAAAGACAUCCCUCGUCCAAAUCAUGGAUAUUUGAAUUUGUUGAUUUUGGAGGUGAAAUGAGACAUGAUAUAUGGUGCUAAUAAAGAAAGGUGCUUUAUGUUCUGAUACUAGCAUUGGUCAAGGGGGUACUACUACAUGGAAGGUGCUUCAAUACACACUUGCUUACAACAAUGUACACAAAUUAACUAAGGAAAUAGCAAUGUAGUACUAGGUUAUAUAGU